CCUUUUGGACAAAACCACGAGUCUCAUCUGUCCAUUGAUGGACUCAAUUAUGGACUCAAUUAUCCCAACCCAUUGCUCUCAUCGGCUUCAACCCUUAGAUAGGUUUGUCUACAUGCUGCUAAAGAGGCACAUGAACACUGCUUGUGAUGCCGGAUGAGGAACAAUCCCGGGGAGACAAUGUUACAUUUAUGACAUUCCUGGGAUUGUGGCAAUCGUCUAUCCUCUGGCUGCAACCCCCUUGAACAUUCAGGCUGGCCGGGGUACAACCUUACAACAGGGAUGUAUUUAUGGAAACUGUGUUUGCACCAUCCUACGUUAAAGAUGGCCCCAUUCAGAACCCAACCCUACCAGGCCCCAGCACCAACCCUGCCAGGCCCCAGCAACAUUCCAGCCCUGCCAGGCCCCAGCAACAUUGCAGCCCUGCCAGGCCCCAGCAACAUUCCAGCCCUGCCAGGCCCCAGCAACAUUCCAGCCCUGCCAGGCCCCAGCAACAUUCCAGCCCUGCCAGGCCCCAGCACUAUUCUAGCCCUGCAUAGCACGAGCUCAGACACACCCAGUUCUUAUGCUAGCACCAGCUCACCCUUGCCCAGCAAUGCCAUUCCUGACAGCGGACUACCAUCUCCAGAGGAUAUCCGGCCAUAUGCAAAAAGCUGGCCCCCG
ensembl:lncRNA